GACGAACGCUGGCGGCGUGCUUAACACAUGCAAGUCGAACGAUGAAGCCCUCGGGUGGAUUAGUGGCGAACGGGUGAGUAACACGUGGAUAAUCUGCCUUGCACUCUGGGAUAAGCCUGAGAAAUUGGGUCUAAUACCGGAUAUGACUCUUAAAAGCAUUUUUUUGAGUGUAAAGUUUUUUCGGUGCAAGAUGAGUCCGCGGCCUAUCAGUUUGUUGGUGGGGUAAUAGCCUACCAAGACUAUGACGGGUAGCCGGCCUGAGAGGGUGAUCGGCCACACUGGGACUGAGAUACGGCCCAGACUCCUACGGGAGGCAGCAGUGGGGAAUAUUGCACAAUGGGCGCAAGCCUGAUGCAGCGACGCCGCGUGGGGGAUGAAGGCCUUCGGGUUGUAAACCUCUUUCGGCAGGGACGAAGCGCAAG
rnacentral:rRNA from 1 species